GACGAACGCUGGCGGCGUGCUUAACACAUGCCAGUCGAACGGAAAGGCCCCUUUGGGGGUACUCGAGUGGCAAACGGGUGAGUAACACGUGAGUAACCUGCCCUUGACUUCGGGAUAACUUCAGGAAACUGGGGCUAUUACCGGAUAGGAAUCCUUUCUUCAUGGGGGGGGUUGGAAAGCUUCGGCGGGUUUGGCUGGGCUCGCGGGUUAUCAGCUUGUUGGUGGGGUUGUGGCUUACCAAGGCUUUGGCGGGUAGCCGGACUGAGUGGGCGACCGGCCACAUUGGGACUGAGAGACGGCACAGACUGCGACGGGAGGGAGCAGUGGGGAAGACUGAACAAUGGGCGGAAGCCUGAUGCAGCAACGCCGCGUGCGGGAUGACGGUCUUCGGGUUGUAAACCGCUUUCAGCAGGGGCGAAGCUUGUGGUGACGGUACCUGCAGAAGAAGCACCGGCUAACUACGUG
rnacentral:rRNA from 1 species